AACGAACGCUGGCGGCAUGCCUAACACAUGCAAGUCGAACGAGACCUUCGGGUCUAGUGGCGCCCGGGUGCGUAACGCGUGGGAACCUGCCCUUAGGUUCGGAAUAACUCCCCGAAAGGGGUGCUAAUACCGGAUAAUGUCUUCGGCCCAAAGAUUUAUCGCCUUUGGAUGGGCCCGCGUUGGAUUCGCUAGUUGGUAGGGUAAAAGCCUACCAAGGCGACGAUCCAUAGCUGGUCUGAGAGGAUGAUCAGCCACACUGGGACUGAGACACGGCCCAGACUCCUACGGGAGGCAGCAGUGGGGAAUAUUGGACAAUGGGCGAAAGCCUGAUCCAGCAAGGCCGCGUGAGUGAUGAAGGCCUUAGGGUUGUAAAGCGCUUUUACCCGGGAUGAUAAUGACAGUACCGGGAGAAUAAGCCCCGGCUAACUCCGUG
rnacentral:rRNA from 1 species